CCAGAGUCCUACGGGAGGCAGCAGUAGGGAAUCUUCGGCAAUGGACGAAAGUCUGACCGAGCAACGCCGCGUGAGUGAAGAAGGUUUUCGGAUCGUAAAACUCUGUUGGUAGAGAAGAACGUUGGUGAGAGUGGAAAGCUCAUCAAGUGACGGUAACUACCCAGAAAGGGACGGCUAACUACGUGCCAGCAGCCGCGGUAAUACGUAGGUCCCGAGCGUUGUCCGGAUUUAUUGGGCGUAAAGCGAGCGCAGGUGGUUUAUUAAGUCUGGUGUAAAAGGCAGUGGCUCAACCAUUGUAUGCAUUGGAAACUGGUAGACUUGGGUGCAGGAGAGGAGAGUGGAAUUCCAUGUGUAGCGGUGAAAUGCGUAGAUAUAUGGAGGAACACCGGUGGCGAAAGCGGCUCUCUGGCCUGUAACUGACACUGAGGCUCGAAAGCGUGGGGAGCAAACAGGAUUAGAUACCCUGGUAGUCCACGCCGUAAACGAUGAGUGCUAGAUGUAGGGAGCUAUAAGUUCUCUGUAUCGCAGCUAACGCAAUAAGCACUCCGCCUGGGGAGUACGACCGCAAGGUUGAAACUCAAAGGAAUUGACGGGGGCCCGCACAAG
rnacentral:rRNA from 1 species